ACGAUCUUUGGUGAUGGCAUUCCUCCAAAAUUUGAAAUGAUGGGUGCUGCUAUGCACUCUUCCUUUUGUAGCGAGCAUUCUGAUGAUGCCUACAAAGAG
rnacentral:ncRNA from 2 species